GAUGAAGAACGCAGCGAAACGCGAUAGUUAAUGUGAAUUGCAGAAUUCAGUGAAUCAUCGAGUCUUUGAACGCACAUUGCGCCUUUUGGUAUUCCGAGAGGCACGCCUGUCUGAGCGUCAGUAAAACCCUUCGGUUUGACGAUUUAUUGUCUCGCCGGCGUUGGCGGUUUUUGGGUCCUUGUGGCUCGAUUCCGUUUAAACACUGACACGCGGAGAUUAAGGUGUUAAAGGAUUAACCCCUCAUCGAUUAGUAGAAAUAUUUAUCUUUGAAGAUUAUGGCUUUAAAACCCCACCCGCUAUACAAAACAGGGAGCUCUUUUUUGAGCACCCGACCUUGAAUUUUGACCUCAGAUCAGACGAGGAUACCCGCUGAACUUAAGCAUAUCAAUAAGCGGAGGA
rnacentral:misc_RNA from 1 species